AUUGAACGCUGGCGGCAUGCUUUACACAUGCAAGUCGAACGGUAACAGGCCGCAAGGUGCUGACGAGUGGCGAACGGGUGAGUAAUGCAUCGGAACGUGCCCAGUCGUGGGGGAUAACGCAGCGAAAGCUGCGCUAAUACCGCAUACGAUCUAUGGAUGAAAGCGGGGAACCGUAAGGCCUCGCGCGAUUGGAGCGGCCGAUGUCAGAUUAGGUAGUUGGUGGGGUAAAGGCUCACCAAGCCAACGAUCUGUAGCUGGUCUGAGAGGACCACCAGCCACACUGGGACUGAGACACGGCCCAGACUCCUACGGGAGGCAGCAGUGGGGAAUUUUGGACAAUGGGCGCAAGCCUGAUCCAGCAAUGCCGCGUGCAGGAAGAAGGCCUUCGGGUUGUAAACUGCUUUUGUACGGAACGAAACGGUCCUGGUUAAUACCUGGGGCUAAUGACGGUACCGUAAGAAUAAGCACCGGCUAACUACGUGCCAGCAGCCGCGGUAAUAC
rnacentral:rRNA from 1 species